rnacentral:rRNA from 1 species
CCCUUAGAUGUUCUGGGCUGCACGCGCGCUACACUGAAGCUAUCAACACGUUUUCCCUCCCUGAGAAGGGCGGGUAACCUUUUGAAUCAGCUUCGUGGUAGGGAUCGGGGCUUGCAAUUGUUCCCCGUGAACCAGGAAUUCCUAGUAGACGCGAGUCAUAAGCUCGCAGCGAUUAAGUCCCUGCCCUUUGUACACACCGCCCGUCGCUACUACCGAUUGAACGUUUUAGUGAGGCAUUUGGACCGACGCAUCUCAGUUUAACCGCUGGUUUGUGUUGGAAAGACUUCCAAACUUGAGCGUUUAGAGGAAGUAAAAGUCGUAACA